ACAGCUCGACUCCGCGCUCUCCUCGCCGGCCGCCGCCGCCCAGCCUGCGCCCGCCGUCCCCCCAGUGCCUGGGCACCUGUUGGAGGCAGAGGAAGGGAGGCCAGUGAGGGCCCCGCAGACCGAGGAGGCCGUCGCCUGGCCCUCAGCCAGGAUGGCUAGCCCUCCUUGGGGCCACCACGCCUGAGGAUGGUGCGGAGGUGGACAGCUAUGACUCGGAUGAUGCCACCGCCCUAGGCACGCUGGAGUUUGACCUUCUCUACGACCGGGCCUCCUGCACUCUGCACUGUAGCAUCCUCAGGGCCAAGGUGGGCACUCCCUGCCACCCAAGCCCGGGCCCGGUUUGCGUGCAGCCCCCAGGGGGGGCCCAUUCCUCCUUCCCUUCCCAGGCCUGCUCCUUCCUCCUGCCCUUGCCCCCUCCUUCUGGGCUCCUCCAGGGUCCAGCUCUACAAGAGGGAUAGAGAGAGGUGCCGGGAGCCUCUAGCCCUCUCCCCUGCCCU
rnacentral:sRNA from 1 species